rnacentral:rRNA from 1 species
GGGUCGUAAAGCUCUUUUACCAGGGAUGAUAAUGACAGUACCUGGAGAAUAAGCUCCGGCUAACUCCGUGCCAGCAGCCGCGGUAAUACGGAGGGAGCUAGCGUUGUUCGGAAUUACUGGGCGUAAAGAGUACGUAGGCGGUUAUUCAAGUCAGAGGUGAAAGCCCGGGGCUCAACCCCGGAACUGCCUUUGAAACUAGAUAACUAGAGUCUUGGAGAGGUUAGUGGAAUUCCGAGUGUAGAGGUGAAAUUCGUAGAUAUUCGGAAGAACACCAGUGGCGAAGGCGACUAACUGGACAAGUACUGACGCUGAGGUACGAAAGCGUGGGGAGCAAACAGGAUUAGAUACCCUGGUAGUCCACGCCGUAAACGAUGAUAACUAGUUGUUCGGUCACUUGGUGACUGAGUGACGCAGCUAACGCAUUAAGUUAUCCGCCUGG